GAUGAACGCUGGCGACGUGCCUAAUACAUGCAAGUCGAGCGAACAGAUAAGGAGCUUGCUCCUUUGGCGUUAGCGGCGGACGGGUGAGUAACACGUGGGUAACCUACCUAUAAGACUGGGAUAACUUCGGGAAACCGGAGCUAAUACCGGAUAACAUUUGGAACCGCAUGGUUCUAAAGUGAAAGAUGGUUUUGCUAUCACUUAUAGAUGGACCCGCGCCGUAUUAGCUAGUUGGUAAGGUAACGGCUUACCAAGGCGACGAUACGUAGCCGACCUGAGAGGGUGAUCGGCCACACUGGAACUGAGCCACGGUCCAGACUCCUACGGGAGGCAGCAGUAGGGAAUCUUCCGCAAUGGGCGAAAGCCUGACGGAGCAACGCCGCGUGAGUGAUGAAGGGUUUCGGCUCGUAAAACUCUGUUAUUAGGGAAGAACAAAUGUGUAAGUAACUGUGCACGUCUUGACGGUACCUAAUCAGAAAGCCACGGCUAACUACGUG
rnacentral:rRNA from 1 species